ensembl:misc_RNA Y_RNA Y RNA
GGCUGGCUUGUAGACAGUAAGUAAUCUCAGUUGACAGUCCAAAAUCAGUUACAGAUAGAAUUCCUUCUUCUCCUCUUUUCCCCAUUCUCACUGGUAUGCUUGACUUGUCUAAA